rnacentral:rRNA from 1 species
UACAGAGGGUGCAAACGUUGCUCGGAAUUAUUGGGCGUAAAGCGCGUGUAGGCGGCUUGUUAAGUUGGUUGUGAAAACCCAUGGCUCAACCAUGGAAGGGCGUCCAAAACUGGCAAGCUAGAGUCCCGACGAGGAUGGCGGAAUUCCCGGUGUAGAGGUGAAAUUCGUAGAUAUCGGGAGGAACACCGGUGGCGAAGGCGGCGACCUGGGUAGAUACUGACGCUGAGGUGCGAAAGCGUGGGGAGCAAACAGG